rnacentral:rRNA from 1 species
CGCAAGAGUGAAACUUAAAGAAAUUGACGGAAGGGCACCACCAGAUGUGGAGCCUGCGGCUUAAUUUGACUCAACACGGGAAAACUUACCAGGACAAGACAUAAUCAUGAUAGACAGAUUGAAGUUCUUUCUAGAUUUUAUGGAUGGUGGUGCAUGGCCGUUCUUAGUUGGUGGAGUGAUUUGUCUGGUUAAUUCCGAUAACGAACGAGACCUCAACCUGCUAACUAGUUGGAGUCUUUUCUUUGUGCUGGGAUGCUGCAUUUCUUUAUGCUCGCCAUCCUCGCUUUCGUCGUCAGUUUUCUGUCGGCUUGAACGUAUUUGGUGAGUGUAGGUAAGUGUUUGUUUUCUUAGUGCAUUUAUAGGAAAGGUUUUUUGCGGGCACGCUGCUGGGCACGAUUAGCUUCGGCUGUUGUGUUUAGUUUGUUUGUUCGAUCAACUUCUUAGAGGAACACUCUGUGUGUAGCAGAUGGAAGCUUAAGGCAAUAACAGGUCUGUGAUGCCCCUAGAUGUUCUGGGCUGCACGCGCGCUACACUGGUGCAUUCAACAAGUUUACAACCUGUGCCGAAAGGUUUUGGGUAAUCUUUUGAAAAUGCAUCGUGAUUGGGAUAGAUGAUUGUAAUUAUUCGUCUUGAAC